UUGUGCUAGGCGGGGAGUUAGCGGUGUCCUGUCGCCCGAAAUCCGCUUAUGCGGGGCUGAAUUCCCUUUUGAGGGUCCAAUAUUCCGCGUCCCAAGAAUUGUCGCUGGCCGGGCACUACGCAACAGGCGGUUACCAACCCCGUCAGGUCCGGGAGGAAGCAGCGGCAGGUAAUGCAGCCCGUGUCGUGGAAUGAUUCCGGCCUAAUAUGGCAAUUUGAGGUGCCGAGGAAAGGGUUCAAGGAAGGGUGCGCAA
rfam:Desulfobacterales bacterium S7086C20 S7086CLC20_contig000046, whole genome shotgun sequence.